UCUAAAAAGCAGCCGAAAUCCAUCGGGAAAUGGAUGCGGGGGAACCACUAUCGGGGCGUAUUUCCCGGUACAACCGGGGAUAGGGCACUUCCAAGCCUGAGCCCGACAGCUAACCUCGUAGGCAUUUGGAGGGGCAAU
rnacentral:sRNA from 2 species